rnacentral:rRNA from 1 species
GACGAACGCUGGCGGCGUGCUUAACACAUGCAAGUCGAGCGAUGAAGUUCCUUCGGGAAUGGAUUAGCGGCGGACGGGUGAGUAACACGUGGGUAACCUGCCUCAUAGAGGGGAAUAGCCUUCCGAAAGGAAGAUUAAUACCGCAUAAGAUUGUAGUUUCGCAUGAAGCAGCAAUUAAAGGAGUAAUCCGCUAUGAGAUGGACCCGCGUCGCAUUAGCUAGUUGGUGAGGUAACGGCUCACCAAGGCGACGAUGCGUAGCCGACCUGAGAGGGGGAUCAGCCACAUUGGGACUGAGACACGGACCAGACUCCUACGGGGGGCAGCAGUGGGGAAUAUUGCACAAUGGGGGAAACCCUGAUGCAGCAACGCCGCGUGAGUGAUGACGGUCUUCGGAUUGUAAAGCUCUGUCUUUUGGGACGAUAAUGACGGUACCAAAGGAGGAAGCCACGGCUAACUACGUGCCAGCCGCCGCCGUAACAC